rnacentral:rRNA from 1 species
AAAAGAAAUCAACCGAGAUUCCCCCAGUAGCGGCGAGCGAACGGGGAGCAGCCCAGAGCCUGAAUCAGUGUGUGUGUUAGUGGAAGCGUCUGGAAAGGCGCGCGAUACAGGGUGACAGCCCCGUACACAAAAAUGCACAUGCUGUGAGCUCGAUGAGUAGGGCGGGACACGUGGUAUCCUGUCUGAAUAUGGGGGGACCAUCCUCCAAGGCUAAAUACUCCUGACUGACCGAUAGUGAACCAGUACCGUGAGGGAAAGGCGAAAAGAACCCCGGCGAGGGGAGUGAAAAAGAACCUGAAACCGUGUACGUACAAGCAGUGGGAGCACGCUUAGGCGUGUGACUGCGUACCUUUUGUAUAAUGGGUCAGCGACUUAUAUUCUGUAGCAAGGUUAACCGAAUAGGGGAGCCGAAGGGAAACCGAGUCUUAACUGGGCGUUAAGUUGCAGGGUAUAGACCCGAAACCCGGUGAUCUAGCCAUGGGCAGGUUGAAGGUUGGGUAACACUAACUGGAGGACCGAACCGACUAAUGUUGAAAAAUUAGCGGAUGACUUGUGGCUGGGGGUGAAAGGCCAAUCAAACCGGGAGAUAGCUGGUUCUCCCCGAAAGCUAUUUAGGUAGCGCCUCGUGAAUUCAUCUCCGGGGGUAGAGCACUGUUUCGGCAAGGGGGUCAUCCCGACUUACCAACCCGAUGCAAACUGCGAAUACCGGAGAAUGUUAUCACGGGAGACACACGGCGGGUGCUAACGUCCGUCGUGAAGAGGGAAACAACCCAGACCGCCAGCUAAGGUCCCAAAGUCAUGGUUAAGUGGGAAACGAUGUGGGAAGGCCCAGACAGCCAGGAUGUUGGCUUAGAAGCAGCCAUCAUUUAAAGAAAGCGUAAUAGCUCACUGGUCGAGUCGGCCUGCGCGGAAGAUGUAACGGGGCUAAACCAUGCACCGAAGCUGCGGCAGCGACGCUGAUGCGUUGUUGGGUAGGGGAGCGUUCUGUAAGCCUGUGAAGGUGUACUGUGAGGUAUGCUGGAGGUAUCAGAAGUGCGAAUGCUGACAUAAGUAACGAUAAAGCGGGUGAAAAGCCCGCUCGCCGGAAGACCAAGGGUUCCUGUCCAACGUUAAUCGGGGCAGGGUGAGUCGACCCCUAAGGCGAGGCCGAAAGGCGUAGUCGAUGGGAAACAGGUUAAUAUUCCUGUACUUGGUGUUACUGCGAAGGGGGGACGGAGAAGGCUAUGUUGGCCGGGCGACGGUUGUCCCGGUUUAAGCGUGUAGGCUGGUUUUCUAGGCAAAUCCGGAAAAUCAAGGCUGAGGCGUGAUGACGAGGCACUACGGUGCUGAAGCAACAAAUGCCCUGCUUCCAGGAAAAGCCUCUAAGCAUCAGGUAACAUCAAAUCGUACCCCAAACCGACACAGGUGGUCAGGUAGAGAAUACCAAGGCGCUUGAGAGAACUCGGGUGAAGGAACUAGGCAAAAUGGUGCCGUAACUUCGGGAGAAGGCACGCUGAUAUGUAGGUGAAGCGACUUGCUCGUGGAGCUGAAAUCAGUCGAAGAUACCAGCUGGCUGCAACUGUUUAUUAAAAACACAGCACUGUGCAAACACGAAAGUGGACGUAUACGGUGUGACGCCUGCCCGGUGCCGGAAGGUUAAUUGAUGGGGUCAGCGCAAGCGAAGCUCUUGAUCGAAGCCCCGGUAAACGGCGGCCGUAACUAUAACGGUCCUAAGGUAGCGAAAUUCCUUGUCGGGUAAGUUCCGACCUGCACGAAUGGCGUAAUGAUGGCCAGGCUGUCUCCACCCGAGACUCAGUGAAAUUGAACUCGCUGUGAAGAUGCAGUGUACCCGCGGCAAGACGGAAAGACCCCGUGAACCUUUACUAUAGCUUGACACUGAACAUUGAGCCUUGAUGUGUAGGAUAGGUGGGAGGCUUUGAAGUGUGGACGCCAGUCUGCAUGGAGCCGACCUUGAAAUACCACCCUUUAAUGUUUGAUGUUCUAACGUUGACCCGUAAUCCGGGUUGCGGACAGUGUCUGGUGGGUAGUUUGACUGGGGCGGUCUCCUCCUAAAGAGUAACGGAGGAGCACGAAGGUUGGCUAAUCCUGGUCGGACAUCAGGAGGUUAGUGCAAUGGCAUAAGCCAGCUUGACUGCGAGCGUGACGGCGCGAGCAGGUGCGAAAGCAGGUCAUAGUGAUCCGGUGGUUCUGAAUGGAAGGGCCAUCGCUCAACGGAUAAAAGGUACUCCGGGGAUAACAGGCUGAUACCGCCCAAGAGUUCAUAUCGACGGCGGUGUUUGGCACCUCGAUGUCGGCUCAUCACAUCCUGGGGCUGAAGUAGGUCCCAAGGGUAUGGCUGUUCGCCAUUUAAAGUGGUACGCGAGCUGGGUUUAGAACGUCGUGAGACAGUUCGGUCCCUAUCUGCCGUGGGCGCUGGAGAACUGAGGGGGGCUGCUCCUAGUACGAGAGGACCGGAGUGGACGCAUCACUGGUGUUCGGGUUGUCAUGCCAAUGGCACUGCCCGGUAGCUAAAUGCGGAAGAGAUAAGUGCUGAAAGCAUCUAAGCACGAAACUU